rnacentral:lncRNA from 1 species
AUUGUUAAUUAGCAUACAUAAAAAUAAUAGGAAAUAGGUUCUAAAUUUUAGCUACACCGCCUAAUGACUUACAGGACAAUUUUUUUUUUAUGAUUCAUAGAAUCACAGAAAAAAGAAUACCAUUUCUACAGUAGUAUUUAAACUCUUUUUCAUGUAUUUUAUUUGCUUAAGAAAAAAAAAUAAGAACCGAAUAAGAUUUAUUUGUAUUAUUUGAAAAAAUCACAUACUAUCUUUUUAACAUUAGUUUUUAGAUCUUUUGAGAAUCAUGUUGUACAUGG